GAACGGGUGAGUAACGCGUGAGGAACCUGCCUCAAAGAGGGGGACAACAGUUGGAAACGACUGCUAAUACCGCAUAAGCCCACAGCUCGGCAUCGAGCAGAGGGAAAAGGAGCAAUCCGCUUUGAGAUGGCCUCGCGUCCGAUUAGCUAGUUGGUGAGGUAACGGCCCACCAAGGCGACGAUCGGUAGCCGGACUGAGAGGUUGAACGGCCACAUUGGGACUGAGACACGGCCCAGACUCCUACGGGAGGCAGCAGUGGGGAAUAUUGCACAAUGGGGGAAACCCUGAUGCAGCGACGCCGCGUGGAGGAAGAAGGUCUUCGGAUUGUAAACUCCUGUUGUUGAGGAAGAUAAUGACGGUACUCAACAAGGAAGUGACGGCUAACUACGUGCCAGCAGCCGCGGUAAAACGUAGGUCACAAGCGUUGUCCGGAAUUACUGGGUGUAAAGGGAGCGCAGGCGGGAGAACAAGUUGGAAGUGAAAUCCAUGGGCUCAACCCAUGAACUGCUUUCAAAACUGUUUUUCUUGAGUAGUGCAGAGGUAGGCGGAAUUCCCGGUGUAGCGGUGGAAUGCGUAGAUAUCGGGAGGAACACCAGUGGCGAAGGCGGCCUACUGGGCACCAACUGACGCUGAGGCUCGAAAGUGUGGGUAGCAAACAGGAUUAGAUACCCUGGUAGUCCACACCGUAAACGAUGAUUACUAGGUGUUGGAGGAUUGACCCCUUCAGUGCCGCAGUUAACACAAUAAGUAAUCCACCUGGGGAGUACGACCGCAAGGUUGAAACUCAAAGGAAUUGACGGGGGCCCGCACAAGCAGUGGAGUAUGUGGUUUAAUUCGACGCAACGCGAAGAACCUUACCAAGUCUUGACAU
rnacentral:rRNA from 1 species